GGAGGCAGCAGUGGGGAAUUUUCCGCAAUGGGCGAAAGCCUGACGGAGCAAUACCGCGUGAGGGAGGAAGGCUCUUGGGUCGUAAACCUCUUUUCUCAGGGAAGAACACAAUGACGGUACCUGAGGAAUAAGCAUCGGCUAACUCCGUGCCAGCAGCCGCGGUAAUACGGAGGAUGCAAGCGUUAUCCGGAAUGAUUGGGCGUAAAGCGUCCGCAGGUGGCAAUGUAAGUCUGCUGUUAAAGAGUCUAGCUCAACUAGAUAAGAGCAGUGGAAACUACAUAGCUAGAGUACGUUCGGGGCAGAGGGAAUUCCUGGUGUAGCGGUGAAAUGCGUAGAGAUCAGGAAGAACACCAGUGGCGAAGGCGCUCUGCUAGGCCGUAACUGACACUGAGGGACGAAAGCUAGGGGAGCGAAUGGGAUUAGAUACCCCAGUAGUCCUAGCCGUAAACGAUGGAUACUAGGCGUGGCUUGUAUCGACC
rnacentral:rRNA from 2 species